rnacentral:lncRNA from 1 species
CAGCCCGCACGCCCCCGCCGCCAGCACCGCGGUCACCGCCAUUCCUAUGGCGAAGGCGGCGGGGACCAGCAGCGGGCUGAAGAAGAUGAAGAGCGGCGUCGCCACCGCCAGCCCCAAGAGGCUGGCGAUGAGCGAGAUGCCGGAGAGGAGGAGCAGCAUUGCACCAAGGGGAACGCCGGCGAGGAGAGCUAGGAGUUGGGAACCCGUGAGGGACAUCUCCGGGAUGAGGUUCAGAAUGCCGCUGCCACCUUCCCCGCCAUGGUGUUGUGGGGUGUGUGUUGUGGUUGCGUGGACUUGCACAUGCUGGGGUUGUUGUUGUUGUGAACGUACUUCAGCCAUUGUGAUGAUGCAGAGAAGAAGAAGAUGAUGAUGAAGCUUUUUUU